GUGGGUACAGCUCAGUGGUAGAGCACAUGCUUAACAAGCACCAUGUCCUGGGUUCAAUCCCCAAUACCUUCA
rnacentral:tRNA from 1 species